rnacentral:rRNA from 1 species
UGAUGAGGUCUUCGGAUCGUAAACUCUGUUAUUAGGGAAGAACAAAUGUGUAAGUAACUAUGCACGUCUUGACGGUACCUAAUCAGAAAGCCACGGCUAACUACGUGCCAGCAGCCGCGGUAAUACGUAGGUGGCAAGCGUUAUCCGGAAUUAUUGGGCGUAAAGCGCGCGUAGGCGGUUUUUUAAGUCUGAUGUGAAAGCCCACGGCUCAACCGUGGAGGGUCAUUGGAAACUGGAAAACUUGAGUGCAGAAGAGGAAAGUGGAAUUCCAUGUGUAGCGGUGAAAUGCGCAGAGAUAUGGAGGAACCCCAGUGGCUGCAGACGA